rnacentral:rRNA from 1 species
AGCUCCACUAGCGUAUAUUAAAAUUGUUGCGGUUAAAACGUUCGAAGUUUGAUUUUGUCCAGCACGGGUAUUACGCCUAAAGUUACUGGUUGUAAACACCCUUGAUGCUAGGACUACAAGUUUGUGGCACCCAUUGCCAUUUCGGUGGUCGUGGGGUAAAUUGCCCUUGUGGUAAGCCCAACUAUUAAUUACCUUGAACAAAUUAGAGUGCUCAAAGCAGGCUAUUAUUGCCUUGAAUAAUCUUGCAUGGAAUAAUGGAAUAAGACCUCGAUCAAUAUAUUUCAUUGGUUUGAAUCGAUCAAGAGGUAAUGAUUAAUAAAAGCAGUUGGGGGCAUUAGUAUUACGACGCGAGAGGUGAAAUUCAUAGACCGUCGUAAGACUAACUGAAGCGAAAGCAUUUGCCAAGGAUGUUUUCC